UGGUUAGUCAGCACGAGCGCACCCUGUCCUUAGUUGCCAGCACGUAAUGGUGGGGACUCUAAGGAGACAAACUCUCUCUGAGAGUGGGAAGGUGGGGAUGACGUCAAGUCAGUAUGGCCCUUACGGCCAGGGCUGCACACGUGCUACAAUGCCCGGUACAAUGGGAAGCAAUGUCGCGAGGCGGAGCAAAUCCACAAAACCGGGCUCAGUUCGGAUUGGAGUCUGCAACUCGACUCCAUGAAGUUGGAAUCGCUAGUAAUGCCGUAUCAGCAAUGACGGCGUGAAUACGUUCCCGGGCCUUGUACACACCGCCCGUCACGUCAUGAAAGCCGGUUCUGCCCGAAGUAUGUGAGCUAACCCCUCGGGGAGGCAGCAUCCCAAGGUGGGGCUGGUGAUUGGGACGAAGUCGUAACAAGGUAGCCGUAGGAGAACCUGCGGCUGGAUCACCUCCUUUCU
rnacentral:rRNA from 1 species